ACGGGGUGCAGCAGNCGAGAAANCUUUGCAAUGUGCGAAANCACGACAAGGUUAAUCCGAGUGAUUUCUGCUAAAGGAAUCUUUUGUCAGUCCUAGAAACACUGUUGAAUAAGGGGUGGGCAUGUUCUGGUGUCAGCCGCCGCGGUAAAACCAGCACCUCAAGUGGUCAGGAUGAUUAUUGGGCCUAAAGCAUCCGUAGCCUGCUUUGUCAGUUUUCGGUUAAAUCCAUACGCUCAACGUANGGGCUGCCGGAAAUACUGCAAAGCUAGGGAGUGGGAGAGGUAGACGGUACUCGGGAGGAAGGGGUAAAAUCCUUUGAUCUCNCGAUGACCACCUGUGGCGAAGGCGGUCUACCAGAACACGUCCGACGGUGAGGGAUGAAAGCUGGGGGAGCAAACCGGAUUAGAUACCCGGGUAGUCCCAGCUGUAAACUAUGCAAACUCAGUGAUGCAUUGGCUUGAUGCCAAUGCAGUGUUGCAGGGAAGCCGUUAAGUUUGCCGCCUGGGAAGUACGUACGCAAGUAUGAAACUUAAAGGAAUUGGCGGGGGAGCAC
rnacentral:rRNA from 1 species